AUCAAUUCAAUAUAUGAGAGUUUCAAAGGAUUACAUCAAUUCCCCAACAACAAUAGAGGUUUAGUUCACCAUAGACAUGGUGAAACUAGAUGAACUUAAUGAAAAGAAUGAAAAGAUAAACCGUAGAACUUGUAGAUUGGAGCUUCUGCAUGCUAAAUCCGCCUCCAAGGGGUGGAGAAUGUGUUUCUGUGUCUCCUUCUGCCAUAAGAUCCUCUCUCUGGGUCGUGCAAAUCUAUUUAAAGUUCAUUAAAAUCAGUAGAAACUGGUCCAGGCCCAAAAGAAUGGCGCUCAUCGUUGGGUUACCGCUCAACGGUAGGUGCGACACUCAAGAUGGACGCUCAACGUUGACGCCUAGGUGUUCUGGCAGUGAAUUCACUAAAGAGGCUACCGCUCAGUGGUGGAGUAGCGCUCAGCGGUGGGCGCGAUACUCAAUUUCUCCCCGCAGCCUUGGCGCUUGAGUGUUUGACAGAGAUCUCCACGGCGAGGCUAGCAUUCAACGGUGUAGUAGCGCUCAACGGUGGUUGUGAUUCUUCCUUUGUGCACUUUUCC
rnacentral:lncRNA from 1 species